ACGAAUUCCACCUGUCACGCAGGGCUGCUGUGUGGGUGACACAAGCGCCUAUGUCGCGCGGCCCUGCUCCAGGCAAGCGCUCUGCAAACCCCGGCUGCCAUGAGCGCGACUGGCGCGGCCCGAGGGCCUAACGUCGAGAAGGGCCGGCGCCGGGAUUCGAACCCCAAGGGUAGGCCGCCGUCUCUUGGGACCCCCACUUUCGCCCAGACCCCGGCCCAGCCGGCCGAAGGCGACCACCCCCGUGCGCCCCGCCGCCCGCCCGCACCCGACAGCGCCGCCGCGGUGCGCCCUGGGACCAGCCGCCGCCCUGUUCCGGGCCUCGCUCCCUGACUGAAGAGGGAGGGGCCGCGCCGCCGCUCAGCGACCCAGCCUCCCCGCCGCUGAACCCGCCGGAAACCUCGGUCCGCACGGUGCUUCUCGGCCUGCGGCUCCACGGGCCCCGAGUCCACGGCGCGGCGUCCCCCUCGCGCGGCCUACGCAGCCUCGGGGUGGCGUGAGGCCUCCGCCCGGCCGGUACGCCUAGCUGGCAGCCGCAACUUCCCGUCUGCGCCCGGCUCCGUCCCGCGGCGGCCCGAGAGGCAAGCUUGAGACUCCCAGCGCGACCAAUAGGAGGGCAGCCAAUGGAGCGGUCCGCCCGCAGGGGGAGAAGGGGGACUUCCGGGCGGGCCCUCCCCGCAGAACGCUGGGAACCAAAGGCCAAUCUCCCCUUCUCAAGGAGCAGGUGCUCCCAAUCUCUUGGCGCCCGGGGGUCUGUGAACGGCAGUGAAGUGCACGCGGAAUAAGGUCUACGUGAUUAGCCACAACCUGGGGCUUGGGGUCUAGAGGCCCAGCUGUACGGGUGAAAAUUCAGGCCUCCUCGAAAGUCUGCCACUACCGUCCAGCGUGGAUGCCAGAGAAGAGAAGAAAGACUCUAGGAAGAAGUGUGAAGCAUGGUGGCUGAUGCCUGUACUCCCAGCACUUUGGGGGGCCAAGGCAGGAAAAUAGCUUGCGGCAGGAGUUCAAGAUGAACCUGGGCAACUUAGCAGACCCCCAUCUCUAAAAUGAAGAAGUUCUUCUUUUAAUUGUAUGAGUGUGGUGGUACCUAUCUGUAAUUCCAGCUACUCAGGAGGCUGAGAUGGGAGGAUCGCUUGAGCCCAGCAGUUCUACUCUAGCUUGGACAAUAUAGCAAGACCCUCAUCUCUUAAAAAAUGAAAAAUAAAACUUUAAAAAGAAAAAAAGAGAAUGUGUCCUCAUGACCUAUGUGUGAAAUCCAGGAUGAUAGGCAUAGACUGUUUUCAAAACAUGCUUCAUAUUUUGGGGGGGAAUAAUUGGUUCCAUCAACUCCACAUAGUCUAAGAACAGGCCAAAAGGAAAUUAAAAUGCAAAUAAUUUUUUGAUGAUUGGGAAGCUUCCUGAUGGGAAGAAACUGUACCCUGUCAUGUGUCUA